UCCAUAUGACUAGUGUUUCUAUGAGAAGGCAGCCAUGUGAAGAAACAGAGAUACACAAACAGAAGGCCACAUGAAGCUGGAGGCAGAGACUGGAGUGAUGCAUCUACAAGCCAAGGAACACCAAGCACUGCCUUUGUUCACCAGAAGCCAGGACACAGACAUGGAACCAAUUCUCCCCCAGAGCCUCCGAAAGGCACCAGCCUUGCUGACGUCUUCUUUUCAGACUUCUAGCCCCCAAAACAGUGGAGCUGAAUUCUGCCAACAACUUGAAUGAGCUUGGAAAUGGAUUCAUCCCUCAAACCUCCAGAAAGAAACACAAUCCUGUCUUGACACUUAACUUUGUGAGAUCCAGAGCAGAAAGUCAGCCAAGCCUAUUGGACUGCAACAUGUUUCUCAACCAUCAGCCAUCCGACCUUGAUCCUGGUUAAAUUUAAUUUAAUUCAAGAAAACAGAAGCAUUCAGGGUAGAACUCUUCCAAAGUCCCAACAUUUGUACUGACGUAAAAAGGUGUGUAAUUAUUUGCUUAAUGUCUUUUCAUGUCUCCUGCUCCGGGAGAUCAGGAAUGGAACCUGGCCACCAGUGUCCCCAGGACCCAGUACAAGGUCUACGAGGUGUUCACUAGGUAUCUAUUAUCUAAAUGAAUGAACAUCCUUCCUUUCUUUGUUUAUAAUUUUUUGUUUUAAAAGCAAGAACUUUAUUUUGAAUAUAAUAUAUGAUCAUGGUAAAAAGCCAGAAUAGUACCAACUUAUAUGAAAGGAAAUGUUAAAGUUCCCCUCCCUGGUAAAUUCCACAGGCUCCUUUCCUUACUUCUUUGUUUUCCAGCUUCAGAAGUCAACCUUCCCCUGAGCCCCAGAUUUCAUUCUUUUGUUGCAAUCUCCUCUAGUAAACACUUCUUCUUUGUGUGGACAGCCAGUGAGCAGGGCUUGGCAGGGCAGUUACACAGAGUGGCCAAAAGAGUUGCAACAGCUGAGGGUUAAGGCAGCAGUAUUGCCAGGCAGAACAGUGACUGGGUGCCAAAGAUGCUAAAUCAAUCAUCAGGUCCUAAGGGUGAAUAAAAUAAGAGGCAAAGCAAAGGUCAGAGGAAUGCAGGAGGAGGUCAAGAAUGUAAAUGUAAGGCAAGACUAAGUGAGAAGGUCCAGGACCACAUGGGUGAAUGGGAAAAGGAUACUAAAAAGGCAUUUAAAAUUUUUAUUUUGGGGGAUAUUACUGUGGGAUGCACCAGUGGGUUAAUGAAGGCUUCAUUGACACUGAGGAGAUGUCAGUGUCAACCCUAUUAAUUAUUAUCUCUCUCUCCAAUAUAUUGAACACCUCCCUUUUCUCUAAUUGUCUUUCUCAGACCACAAAUAUGUUGUCUUUUAACCUAAACACAAAAGAAGAAAAGAAACAAAAAACCUCUCCGCCAACCUGGUCUUCGCCUCCAACUACCUCAUCCAAUCUCUCUUCUGCCAAUUCUAGACAUAUUUCAAAGAAUAAUGUAAACUAAUGGCUGGGCACAGUGGCUUAUGCCUGUAAUCACAGCACUUUGGGAGGCUGAGG